rnacentral:rRNA from 1 species
GACGAACGCUGGCGGCGUGCUUAACACAUGCAAGUCGAACGGAAAGGCCUUUUCGGAGGUACUCGAGUGGCGAACGGGUGAGUAACACGUGGGUGAUCUGCCCUGCACUCUGGGAUAAGCCUGGGAAACUGGGUCUAAUACCGGAUAGGACCGCACUUUAGUGUGUGUGGUGGAAAGUUUUUUCGGUGUAGGAUGAGCCCGCGGCCUAUCAGCUUGUUGGUGGGGUAAUGGCCUACCAAGGCGGCGACGGGUAGCCGGACUGAGAGGUUGGUCGGCCACAUUGGGACUGAGAUACGGCCCAGACUCCUACGGGAGGCAGCAGUGGGGAAUAUUGCACAAUGGGCGCAAGCCUGAUGCAGCGACGCCGCGUGGGGGAGGACGGCCUUCGGGUUGUAAACUCCUUUCGCCAGGCACGAAGCGUUUUGUGACGGUACCUGGAGAAGAAGCACCGGCUAACUACGUG